rnacentral:rRNA from 1 species
UACGACGGGUGCUAGCGUUGUUCGGAAUUACUGGGCGUAAAGCGCGUGUAGGCGGGCCGUUAAGUCGGGGGUGAAAGCCCAGAGCUCAACUCUGGAACUGCCUUCGAUACUGGCGGCCUGGAGCAUGAUAGAGGCGAGUGGAAAUGCGAGUGUAGAGGUGAAAUUCGUAGAUAUUCGCAGGAACACCAGUGGCGAAGGCGACUCGCUGGAUCAUUGCUGACGCUGAGACGCGAAAGCGUGGGGAGCAAACAGG